rnacentral:rRNA from 1 species
UACGUAGGGUGCGAGCGUUAAUCGGAAUUACUGGGCGUAAAGCGCGCGUAGGCGGUUUGGAAAGUCAGAUGUGAAAGCCCCGGGCUCAACUUGGGAACUGCAUUUGAUACUGCCAGACUAGAGUACAGAAGAGGUGACUGGAAUUCCCAGUGUAGCGGUGAAAUGCGUAGAUAUCGUAAGGAAGACCAGUGGCGAAGGCGGGUCUCUGGACAGUUCCUGACGCUGAGGCAC